ACAUUUGCUGAGUUGCAGAACUGACUCAUUGAUUGCACUACAGUUAUACUGUUGAGUAACUUUCAUGGAGGGAAACCAGAAUCACGACCACAGCUUUUAAGGGACUACAGUUCUUCUAACUCCAAGGACAGAUAUGGAGAAGAAAUUGCUGAAAAGGGGGAAAGAACAAUGACAGAUAUUGGGCAGAUAUGUUAGCAACAGUGAAGAAUAAUCAUUAAAGUCGUAAAUUGGAAAAGAGAAAAUCUGGGAGAUAAUGAGAAGUUAAAAGGU